rnacentral:rRNA from 1 species
AAGUCGUAACAAGGUCUCCGUAGGUGAACCUGCGGAGGGAUCAUUACCGAGAUGAGGGCCCCGCGCGCCGACCUCCCAACCCUCUUGUCGAUUCAGUACCGCUGUUGCCUCGGGGCGACCGGACGUUCGGCGUCGGGGCCCCCGGAGGACACCAAUUCAAACUCUGCAUCUGUUGCGUCGGUUCAUUAUGAUGAAUCAAUCAAAACUUUCAACAACGGAUCUCUUGGCUUCUGGCAUCGAUGAAGAACGCAGCGAAAUGCGAUAAGUAAUGUGAAUUGCAGAAUUCAGUGAAUCAUCGAAUCUUUGAACGCACAUUGCGCCCCUUUGGCUAUUCCGAGGGGCAUGCCCGUUCGAGCGUCAUUUCACCACUCAAGCCCGACUUGGUGUUGGGUCCCGGGGGUGACCCGGACCUCAAUGUCUCGCGGCUGGAACACCCCGAAUCUCAGCGUUGUGGAAAUCAAAUUCGCUCUGCAGAAAGGGUGGCCCAUCGCCGUUAAACAUCUUAUUUACAGGUUGACCUCGGAUCGGGUAGGGAUACCCGCUGAACUUAA